GGCGUCCUUUGAACCUCAAUCUUGGGCAGUCACUAAUCGAUACGUAACUGAGGCAGGGGAACACGGAGUUUACCGUGUUCCACACUUCCAGCCAUUUCAUACCAUGUAUGCGAAAGUUCUCGAGUCGAGGAAAUGCUCCUGGUCCCCCGUACAGGUCCGCGCCAAUCUCCUUAAUGCUGUCCAUUCCUCCGAUGUCCAGAACCUUGAGGUUUGGUAACUGACCAAGUGGUGGUAGGCUGUUGCAAUUGGGCAAGUCCCGCAUCUCAAAAAAUGUCAGAUGAGGUAAAUAAACACCAAGGUGCAUCACCCAGGAUGGAAAGCUGACGCUAUUAUAACCAUGUAGGCGGAAUAUUGAAAUACUGUGCGGUGGCUCUAGUUCCCUCAGAACUUCUGCGUCUUCCACUAAUCUCUUUGCAUCUCUAGUCCAUUCUAAUGCUAAUUGUGUAAUAUGUGUCUUCCCUACGGGCUUUAUUGUACGUGCCUCUCCUGCCGACUUCACAUUUUCAAGCCUACUUAUCUUUAGCCGAGCAGGAUUUCCAUCCUCGUACUGAAAAACAUAGCUGCUAGAUUCACCAUCACCAGUAUGGGCCACAAAAUGCGGACUAGGCAGGGUGGACCUAUCCAACUUCCAACAUUCCAUAGUAUAUAGAAACUUCAAGCUUUCAAUUUCAGAUAUACUUGCCGGCAGCCUCUG
rnacentral:lncRNA from 1 species